rnacentral:misc_RNA from 1 species
GAUGAAGAACGUAGCGAAAUGCGAUAAGUAGUGUGAAUUGCAGAAUUCAGUGAAUCAUCGAAUCUUUGAACGCACAUUGCGCCCUCUGGUAUUCCGGGGGGCAUGCCUGUUCGAGCGUCAUUAUAACCACUCAAGCUCUCGCUUGGUAUUGGGGUUCGCGGUUCCGCGGCCCCUAAAAUCAGUGGCGGUGCCUGUCGGCUCUACGCGUAGUAAUACUCCUCGCGAUUGAGUCCGGUAGGUCUACUUGCCAGCAACCCCCAAUUUUUACAGGUUGACCUCGGAUCAGGUAGGGAUACCCGCUGAACUUAAGCAUAUCAAUAAGCGGAGGA